rnacentral:rRNA from 1 species
AGAGUUUGAUCAUGGCUCAGGACGAACGCUGGCGGCGUGCCUAAUACAUGCAAGUCGAGCGGACUGAUGGGAGCUUGCUCCCAUCAGUCAGCGGCGGACGGGUGAGUAACACGUGGGUAACCUGCCUGUAAGACUGGGAUAACUCCGGGAAACCGGGGCUAAUACCGGAUAACUCAUUUCCUCGCAUGAGGAAAUGUUGAAAGGUGGCUUUUAGCUAUCACUUACAGAUGGACCCGCGGCGCAUUAGCUAGUUGGUGAGGUAACGGCUCACCAAGGCAACGAUGCAUAGCCGACCUGAGAGGGUGAUCGGCCACACUGGGACUGAGACACGGCCCAGACUCCUACGGGAGGCAGCAGUAGGGAAUCUUCCGCAAUGGACGAAAGUCUGACGGAGCAACGCCGCGUGAGUGAUGAAGGCUUUCGGGUCGUAAAACUCUGUUGUUAGGGAAGAACAAGUACGAGAGUAACUGCUCGUACCUUGACGGUACCUAACCAGAAAGCCACGGCUAACUACGUGCCAGCAGCCGCGGUAAUACGUAGGUGGCAAGCGUUAUCCGGAAUUAUUGGGCGUAAAGCGCGCGCAGGCGGUUUCUUAAGUCUGAUGUGAAAGCCCACGGCUCACCGUGGGGUCAUGAAUAGGAAACUGAG